UACGGGGGGGGCAAGCGUUGUUCGGAAUUACUGGGCGUAAAGGGCUCGUAGGCGGCCAACUAAGUCGGAUGUGAAAUCCCCAGGCUUAACCUGGGAACUGCAUCCGAUACUGGAUGGCUUGAAUCCGGGAGAGGGAUGCAGAAUUCCAGGUGUAGCGGUGAAAUGCGCAGAUAUCAGGAAGAACACCCGUGGCUAAGGCGGCUCGUCUAGUACGGUACUGACGCUGAGACGCGAAAGCGUGGGGAGCGAACAGG
rnacentral:rRNA from 1 species